rnacentral:lncRNA from 1 species
AGCUGGGAUGUCCAAUAUGGGAGCUCCUGGCAACAUGUGGCUAUUGAGCACUUAGCUGUGGCUGGUCUGACUUAAGCGAUAGACGAUAGUUCCCGUUGCUCCCAUUGUCUCCAGCAAUUUGUGUUGCCAGUGUUCCGGAUUGUGGCCAUUCUAACAGAAUUUGGAAUAAGAUUUGCAGUUAUUGUAACAGACCAGCUGGCAUGGAGAUCGUGGGAGAGAAGAUACAUAGCACCUACCUACCACUAACUGCCAGAGGCUACCAAUAUUUACCCAAAGUACCCAACAAUUGCUGAACAGCCAAAUUGGCCUGGGUCCAUUCAACACAAUCAGAUAAGAAGAACAUCUGAAGGUGCUGUGCAAAUCACUAAAGUUUGGAAGCACAGACAACUCUUCCAGAAAAUCUUCUGUAACUGAAAAAGUG